GCGGGUAUAGUUUAGUGGUAAAACCUUAGCCU
rnacentral:tRNA from 1 species